rnacentral:rRNA from 1 species
CCCUUAGAUGUUCUGAACCGCACGCGUGUUACACUGAUGCAUUCAACGAGCUUUACCUUGGCCGAGAGGCCUGGGAAAUCUUUUUAGCAUGCAUCGUGAUAGGGAUUGAUUAUUGCAAUUAUUAAUCAUGAACGAGGAAUUCCUAGUAAACGCAUUUCAUCAAAAUGCGUUGAUUACGUCCCUGCCCUUUGUACACACCGCCCGUCGCACCUACCGAUUGAGUGGUCCGGUGAAGUCUCGAGAUUGUGGCAAUCUCCUUUAUUGGAGUUUGACUGCGAGAACUUGCCUAAACCUUAUCACUUAGAGGAAGGUGAAGUCGUAACA